AAUCAACGCUGGCGGCGUGCCUCAGACAUGCAAGUCGAACGAUUAAAGCUCUCUUCGGAGAGUGCAUAGAGUGGCGCACGGGUGAGUAACACGUAAGUAAUCUACCUUCGAGUGGGGAAUAACAGUCGGAAACGACUGCUAAUACCGCAUAAUGCAGCGGCAUCGCAAGAUGACAGUUGUUAAAGGAGCAAUUCGCUUGAAGAGGAGCUUGCGGCAGAUUAGCUUGUUGGUAAGGUAACGGCUUACCAAGGCUACGAUCUGUAACCGGUCUAAGAGGACGGUCGGUCACACUGACACUGAAUAACGGGUCAGACUCCUACGGGAGGCAGCAGUCGGGAAUAUUGGACAAUGGGCGCAAGCCUGAUCCAGCCAUGCCGCGUGAGUGACGAAGGUCUUCGGAUUGUAAAGCUCUUUUGCCAGGGACGAUAAUGACGGUACCUGGAGAAUAAGCCCCGGCUAACUUCGUGCCAGCCGCCGCGGUAAC
rnacentral:rRNA from 1 species